AUUGAACGCUGGCGGCAUGCUUUACACAUGCAAGUCGAACGGUAACAGGUCUUCGGAUGCUGACGAGUGGCGAACGGGUGAGUAAUGCAUCGGAACGUGCCCAGUCGUGGGGGAUAACGCAGCGAAAGCUGUGCUAAUACCGCAUACGAUCUAUGGAUGAAAGCGGGGGACCGUAAGGCCUCGCGCGAUUGGAGCGGCCGAUGUCAGAUUAGCUAGUUGGUGGGGUAAAGGCCCACCAAGGCGACGAUCUGUAGCUGGUCUGAGAGGACGACCAGCCACACUGGGACUGAGACACGGCCCAGACUCCUACGGGAGGCAGCAGUGGGGAAUUUUGGACAAUGGGCGCAAGCCUGAUCCAGCAAUGCCGCGUGCAGGAAGAAGGCCUUCGGGUUGUAAACUGCUUUUGUACGGAACGAAACGGUCUGGGUUAAUACCCUGGGCUAAUGACGGUACCGUAAGAAUAAGCACCGGCUAACUACGUGCCAGCAGCCGCGGUAA
rnacentral:rRNA from 1 species